rnacentral:lncRNA from 1 species
AGCCAGCAGGUCUUAUGUCCUGUUCUCACUGUUAGUGACGUGCCCCUUAAUCAUUAAACAGCUCUUGAAAUGCAAUGGUAGGGAGUUAACACCAGUCAGGAUAAUUCUCAUAGGCAUCAAUUCCCUGAAGACUUGAUCCAGAAAGAAGUAAGCUGGCAGGCUUAUUAGCUGAAAGAGUUUCUUUAUUUUCAAACCGUUCACGGUAGUUAUAAUUAAUUAUAUAAUUUUAGUGUAUAUACUCAUAUGCUUCUCAUUUCUAAUCACUGCAUGUACAUUUGAAAUAUUUGUUUUAAAAUAGAAAGGACAGCUGAGAGACCUUCAACGCUUGGUGAUUGCUUGCUAGUCACAGAAAUCUACCCCAGUGGGCACUUUUGCUUUUGUAAUUUGCAAAGGACUUUAAAAUAAACAGGCAUGCCAGGAAAUUAAGAGCCAGACCUGAUGGUAUCACUCUGAUAUCCCUCACGCUGCUCUGCUAACAUACAUGCUCGAGUGUGUGCAGUUACCCCAGAGAUUGCAGGUCACUUAACUUCCUCAUAUUUUCAUAUUCGGAAUGAAAUCGUCCAAUAAAAACAUAUUGAAAGUAUUAAGCAUGCCGUAUUAGAUAAGAUUUCCCCAGAAUAAAGUCAAAAGGGAAAUGGCCUCCAAAGCAAACAGCAAACUGUUAGAAUAGGGUCACGGCGCCCCUUGGUGACAUGUGUGUGCACUACCAAGCUCCGUCCACAUUCCUUGACUUUUUUUGGUAAAUUCAAUUAACAUCUUUGUGAGAAGAGGUUGCUUUUGGGUUUUACAUUGUAUUUUCUUUUAGUUGCUGGACUUCCUCUGGCAGGUGCAGUUUGCUCUCUCAGGCUUCUAAUGUCCUUUCUCCAUCACGUUCCUCUCAGAGCCCAGCUGCCCCAUCACCUCACCCUUCUUUUGCGAGCUUUGCCUUUUUCUGUUCUUGCUCUGCCUUUUUCCAUUCUUGCUCUGACCAAUCUUACGUCCUGUGGACUUUGGCUCCUGUGGGGCCUUGGUGAGAGACUCCUGAGUGGACAAGCCUUUGGCUUUUUUAACCAGUGACCUUUUGGUUCACUUCCAUCCUGAGACGGGGGGCACAACCUCCUUUCUGUGGCUCCGGAAAGCCUUGUGCUCAUGCACUCAGCCUCAUUCUCCGUGAACUGUAUCAGUCAACGAUGGCAUCCACCUCAUCUUUCCAGGCAUCUUGGUUCUAGAAUCUUUGAACCCAUGUAAAAAGAAAACUGGAAGACAGAGAUGGAUACAGCCUCACAGUGCUGGGUAUUUAAUCACUCGAAGCAUGCAUGGGCCUUUUCCUCAAUGUGUUAUACUUGUGAGCCAUAUUUACUCUUCAAAGGGUGACAAACUGAACCAUUGUAAGAAAUGGCCAAAUGAACGUUGUAGGUCCUUUGUAUUCAGCAUUAUUUCUAUGACCAUGGCUGUAACUGCUGCAGUCGGGCGUCCAUCCCUCUUACUUGGGGUGGUGGUUUCUUACAUAGGAGUUCUUUGCACAGAUUGUUUGGAGUGGCUUUGUCCUACCACCACCUCCUAGCCCCAUCUAAACAUCUCUACAUAGAAAACCAGACCAUCCCACUCCCCAACAGCCUUGUGUCUUCAGGCAAAAAAAAAAAAAA